GAUGAAGAACGUAGCGAAAUGCGAUAAGUAAUGUGAAUUGCAGAAUUCCGUGAAUCAUCGAGUCUUUGAACGCACAUUGCGCCCCCUGGUAUUCCGGGGGGCAUGCCUGUCCGAGCGUCAUUGCUGCCCUCAAGCACGGCUUGUGUGUUGGGCCCCCGUCCCCGGUUUCCCCCGGGGACGGGCCCGAAAGGCAGCGGCGGCACCGCGUCCGGUCCUCGAGCGUAUGGGGCUUUGUCACCCGCUCUGUAGGCCCGGCCGGCGCCAGCCGACACCCAACUUUAUUUCUAAGGUUGACCUCGGAUCAGGUAGGGAUACCCGCUGAACUUAAGCAUAUCAAUAAGCGGAGGA
rnacentral:misc_RNA from 1 species